GUCUCUAUCGAUUAGUGGUUAGAUCAUCUCGUUGUGGCCCCUCAGUGACUCCGAGAAGACGCAGGCUCGAAUCCUGCUAGGGACA